rnacentral:rRNA from 1 species
CCGCGUAAGCUCGUCUCUUGUAAGAGAGGCGAGGAGAGCAGAAAUGCGGCGACGGAGGGGCUCGCGGCCCAUCAGGUAGUAGGUGGGGUGAUGGCCUACCUAGCCGAUGACGGGUAGCUGGUCUGAGAGGAUGAUCAGCCAGACUGGGACUGAGAGACGGCCCAGACUCCUACGGGGGGCAGCAGGGGGGGAUUUUGCACAAUGGGCGGAAGCCUGAUGCAGCGACGCCGCGUGAGGGAGGAAGGGUUUCGGCCUGUAAACCUCUUUUGACAGGGAAGAUAAUGACGGUWCCUGUCGAAUUACUAC